rnacentral:rRNA from 1 species
UAAUGUUUGAUGUUCUAACGUUGGCCCGUAAUCCGGGUUGCGGACAGUGUCUGGUGGGUAGUUUGACUGGGGCGGUCUCCUCCUAAAGAGUAACGGAGGAGCACGAAGGUUGGCUAAUCCUGGUCGGACAUCAGGAGGUUAGUGCAAUGGCAUAAGCCAGCUUGACUGCGAGCGUGACGGCGCGAGCAGGUGCGAAAGCAGGUCAUAGUGAUCCGGUGGUUCUGAAUGGAAGGGCCAUCGCUCAACGGAUAAAAGGUACUCCGGGGAUAACAGGCUGAUACCGCCCAAGAGUUCAUAUCGACGGCGGUGUUUGGCACCUCGAUGUCGGCUCAUCACAUCCUGGGGCUGAAGUAGGUCCCAAGGGUAUGGCUGUUCGCCAUUUAAAGUGGUACGCGAGCUGGGUUUAGAACGUCGUGAGACAGUUCGGUCCCUAUCUGCCGUGGGCGCUGGAGAACUGAGGGGGGCUGCUCCUAGUACGAGAGGACCGGAGUGGACGCAUCACUGGUGUUCGGGUUGUCAUGCCAAUGGCACUGCCCGGUAGCUAAAUGCGGAAGAGAUAAGUGCUGAAAGCAUCUAAGCACGAAACUUGCCCCGAGAUGAGUUCUCCCUGACUCCUUGAGAGUCCUGAAGGAACGUUGAAGACGACGACGUUGAUAGGCCGGGUGUGUAAGCGCAGCGAUGCGUUGAGCUAACCGGUACUAAUGAACCGUGAGGCUUAACCUUACAACGCCGAAG